rnacentral:rRNA from 1 species
GUCGCACCUACCGAUUGAAUGGUCCGGUGAAGCCUCGGGAUUGCGGUUUGGUUCCUUCAUUGGGACCUGACUGUGAGAACUUGUCUGAACCUUAUCAUUUAGAGGAAGGUG